CGGGGUAUAGCGCAGCUUGGUAGCGCACCUGCUUUGGGAGCAGGGGGUCGUGGGUUCAAAUCCCCCUACCCCGACCA
rnacentral:tRNA from 2 species